rnacentral:rRNA from 1 species
CUUUGGGGUGUGACUGCGUACCUUUUGUAUAAUGGGUCAGCGACUUAUAUUCUGUAGCAAGGUUAACCGAAUAGGGGAGCCGGAGGGAAACCGAGUCUUAAUUGGGCGUUAAGUUGCAGGGUAUAGACCCGAAACCCGGUGAUCUAGCCAUGGGCAGGUUGAAGGUUGGGUAACACUAACUGGAGGACCGAACCGACUAAUGUUGAAAAAUUAGCGGAUGACCUGUGGCUGGGGGUGAAAGGCCAAUCAAACCGGGAGAUAGCUGGUUCUCCCCGAAAGCUAUUUAGGUAGCGCCUCGUGAAUUCAUCUCCGGGGGUAGAGCACUGUUUCGGCUAGGGGGCCAUCCCGGCUUACCAACCCGAUGCAAACUGCGAAUACCGGAGAAUGUUAUCACGGGAGACACACGGCGGGUGCUAACGUCCGUCGUGAAGAGGGAAACAACCCAGACCGCCAGCUAAGGUCCCAAAGUCAUGGUUAAGUGGGAAACGAUGUGGGAAGGCCCAGACAGCCAGGAUGUUGGCUUAGAAGCAGCCAUCAUUUAAAGAAAGCGUAAUAGCUCACUGGUCGAGUCGGCCUGCGCGGAAGAUGUAACGGGGCUAAACCAUGCACCGAAGCUGCGGCAGCGAACGUAUCACUUAAAGCGAUUCAGCGGGUUACGAUUGACGGAGCGAAGCGACGUCAAAGCGUAUACAAAGUCGAGUCGGUUUAAGGAUACGUUCGUUGGGUAGGGGAGCGUUCUGUAAGCCUGCGAAG